CAAUAGCGUAUAUUAAAGUUGUUGCGGUUAAAAAGCUCGUAGUUGGAUUUCUGCCGAGGACGACCGGUCCGCCCUCUGGGUGAGUAUCUGGCUUGGCCUGGGCAUCUUCUUGGAGAACGUAGCUGCACUUGACAGUGUGGUGCGGUAUCCAGGACUUUUACUUUGAGGAAAUUAGAGUGUUUCAAGCAGGCAUGCGCCUUGAAUACAUUAGCAUGGAAUAAUAAGAUAGGACCUCGGUUCUAUUUUGUUGGUUUCUAGAGCUGAGGUAAUGAUUAAUAGGGAUAGUUGGGGGGCAUUCGUAUUUAACUGUCAGGUAAUGUGUAAUCGUUGAUUUGUUAAAGACGGACUACUGCGAAAGCAUUUGCCAAGGAUGUUUUCAUUGAUCA
rnacentral:rRNA from 1 species